GAUGAACGCUAGCUACAGGCUUAACACAUGCAAGUCGAGGGGUAGCAGGGUCUAGCAAUAGGCCGCUGACGACCGGCGCACGGGUGAGUAACACGUAUCCAACCUGCCUUUAACUCGGGGAUAGCCUUUCGAAAGAAAGAUUAAUACCCGAUAGUAUAUUUUUUCCGCAUGGAUUUAAUAUUAAAGAACUUUGGUUAAAGAUGGGGAUGCGUUCCAUUAGUUUGUUGGGGGGGUAACGGCCCACCAAGACAUCGAUGGAUAGGGGUUCUGAGAGGAAGGUCCCCCACACUGGUACUGAGACACGGACCAGACUCCUACGGGAGGCAGCAGUGAGGAAUAUUGGUCAAUGGGCGCAAGCCUGAACCAGCCAAGUAGCGUGAAGGAUGACUGCCCUAUGGGUUGUAAACUUCUUUUAUAUGGGAAUAAAAGCAUUCACGUGUGAAUGUCUGUAUGUACCAUACGAAUAAGCAUCGGCUAACUCCGUGCCAGCAGCCGCAGUAAAAC
rnacentral:rRNA from 1 species